rnacentral:rRNA from 1 species
CCCCAAACCAAGCUAAACUCACCCAUCUCACAACCGAUUUGGAAAGCUAAGCAGGAUCAGACUGGGCUGGUAGUCGGAUGGGAGACAACCAGGGAAUGCCAUGACUCUUCAGGGA